rnacentral:snRNA from 8 species
GGCAAGGCUCAGCCAUUGCACUCCGGCUGUGCUGACCCCUGCAAAUUUCCCAAAUGUGGAAAUCUCGAUUGCAUUAUUUCUGGUAGUGGUGGACUGCAUUCGCACUCUCCCCUG